UACGAAGGGUGCAAACGUUGCUCGGAAUCACUGGGCGUAAAGCGCACGUAGGCGGAUUGCUAAGUCAGGGGUGAAAUCCUGGAGCUCAACUCCAGAACUGCCCUUGAUACUGGCGGUCUCGAGUCCGGGAGAGGUGAGUGGAACUGCGAGUGUAGAGGUGAAAUUCGUAGAUAUUCGCAAGAACACCAGUGGCGAAGGCGGCUCACUGGCCCGGUACUGACGCUGAGGUGCGAAAGCGUGGGGAGCAAACAGG
rnacentral:rRNA from 1 species